rnacentral:rRNA from 1 species
GAUGAACGCUGGCGGGGUGCUUAAUACAUGCAAGUCGAGCGAAGAGGGGAAGGGUGAGUAACACGUGGAUAACCGCCUAUAAAACUGGGAUUACUUCGGGAAACCGGAGCUAAACCGGAAAAUUAUAGAUGGAUCCGCGAUGCAUUAGCUAGUUGGUAAGGUAACGGCUUACCAAGGCAACGAUCCAUAGCCGACCUGAGAGGGUGAUCGGCCACACUUGAACUGAGACACGGUCCAGACUCCUACGCGAGGCAGCAGUAGGGAAUCUUCCGCAAUGGGCGAAAGCCUGACGGAGCAACGCCGCGUGAGUGAUGAAGGUCUUCGGAUCGUAAACCUCUGUUAUUAGGGAAGCGGUACCUAAUCAGAAAGCCACGGCUAACUACGUGCCAGCAGCCGCGGUAAUUC